CUUCUCCCCACGCCGCUUAUAGCCGACGCCCCACAGAUUUGCAUCUCGCCGGACCCGACCGCCUCGCCGCAGGAAUUCAUCGCCGGUUCAGCCGGAGACGAUGCCCUGACGAUGCACGCCCUCGCCAGAGCACACAGAGUGCCGCCGCCCUUCAUCUGCCUAUCUGGAUGUCGCCAAGGACCGCCGUCACCACCAACCGGAUCACCUCGCCGCACUGGUCCUUCCUAUCUACUUGCCCGCCGCCAGAACCCGCCGCACUGGCCGCCUCCUCCGACCCGAGCCGCCCGGCCGUCCUCUGCUCGUCACUGGCCACCACCAGCCCACUAUUGUCCGGAAUGCGAAGCCGAAUACUAUCAUUCUCUAGAGUUGAACCAGCAGUACAAGGGCAAGUUCACAUUUGACCAUUCUUUCAUUUACCUAUGUUUUAUAUAUGCACUUAGUCCUUUGUGGUAGGAUUGCAUGGCAGAAAAUUUAUGCCAGAUGGCUAUGUUUUUACCUAGUAUUUCAUUUGAGGUAGGUCUGAACUAUACAACCUUGUCACCACCGUGUAAGUUUAUUUUGCCUCGCUAAUGUAGACGUGGAUUGGGGGUGUUCAUGGCGAAACUUGAGUGACAAAGUAGUAAUCAGGACAAAGACUUUUAAAGGAACUACGUGGGCGGAAAUUGGUUUAAUUUGUUGCGAAGUACAAUGGGUGCAUGCAUGGAAGUCCAUGGUGGUGCACCACUAUUGGUCCGUCCGAUCAGGAUCAAAGGGAUCAAAUGUGUUUUCAUGUCUAGCAGCUUACGUGUGCAGCCACAAGCCAAUAUGGGCUCUGGCUUAGUUGAGUAGAUAAUGUGACCCCUUACGGGAUAGGCUAGCUGAUGUAGAAUAUCUAGGUGUACCGGCCUACACUACUAGGAAAACGCUUAUAGAUAGAAGUUUAUCAGUAGCGUUUGUUUGUGACCCCACGCUACUAG